rnacentral:rRNA from 1 species
GAUGAACGCUGGCGGCGUGCCUAAUACAUGCAAGUCGAGCGAACAGACGAGGAGCUUGCUCCUCUGACGUUAGCGGCGGACGGGUGAGUAACACGUGGAUAACCUACCUAUAAGACUGGGAUAACUUCGGGAAACCGGAGCUAAUACCGGAUAAUAUAUUGAACCGCAUGGUUCAAUAGUGAAAGACGGUUUUGCUGUUACUUAUAGAUGGAUCCGCGCCGCAUUAGCUAGUUGGUAAGGUAACGGCUUACCAAGGCAACGCUGCGUAGCCGACCUGAGAGGGUGAUCGGCCACCCUGGAACUGAGACACGGUCCAGACUCCUACGGGAGGCAGCAGUAGGGAAUCUUCCGCAAUGGUCGAAAGCUUGACGGAGCAACGCCGCGUGAGUGAUGAAGGUCUUCGGAUCGUAAAACUCUGUUAUUAGGGAAGAACAAAUGUGUAAGUAACUAUGCACGUCUUGACGGUACCUAAUCAGAAAGCCACGGCUAACUACGUG